UUUAUUGGGUAUUGGAAUUGA
rnacentral:piRNA from 1 species